UACGGGGGGGGCAAGCGUUGUUCGGAAUUACUGGGCGUAAAGGGCUCGUAGGCGGCCAACUAAGUCGGACGUGAAAUCCCCAGGCUCAACCUGGGAACUGCGUCCGAUACUGGAUGGCUUGAAUCCGGGAGAGGGAUGCAGAAUUCCAGGUGUAGCGGUGAAAUGCGUAGAUAUCUGGAGGAAUACCGGUGGCGAAGGCGGCAUCCUGGACCGGUAUUGACACUGAGGCGCGAAAGCCAGGGGAGCAAACGGG
rnacentral:rRNA from 1 species